CAGCAGCCGCGGGAAUACGAAUGGUGCAAGCGUUACUCGGAAUUACUGGGCGUAAAGCGUGCGUAGGUGGUGGUUUAAGUCCGUUGUGAAAGCCCUGGGCUCAACCUGGGAAUUGCAGUGGAUACUGGAUCACUAGAGUGUGGUAGAGGAUAGUGGAAUUUCCGGUGUAGCAGUGAAAUGCGUAGAGAUCGGAAGGAACAUCUGUGGCGAAGGCGACUAUCUGGGCCAACACUGACACUGAGGCACGAAAGCGUGGGGAGCAAACAGGAUUAGAUACCCCAGUAGUCCCUGUCUCUUAUAC
rnacentral:rRNA from 1 species